rnacentral:rRNA from 1 species
AUUGAACGCUGGCGGCAGGCUUAACACAUGCAAGUCGAGCGGUAACACUUCGGGUGACGAGCGGCGGACGGGUGAGUAAUACAUAGGAAUCUGCCUAGUAGUGGGGGAUAACGUAGGGAAACUUACGCUAAUACCGCAUACAUCCUACGGGGGAAAGCAGGGGAUCUUCGGACCUUGCGCUAUUAGAUGAGCCUAUGUCGGAUUAGCUAGUUGGUGAGGUAAAGGCUCACCAAGGCGACGAUCCGUAGCUGGUCUGAGAGGAUGAUCAGCCACACUGGGACUGAGACGCGGCCCAGACUCCUACGGGAGGCAGCAGUGGGGAAUAUUGGACAAUGGGCGCAAGCCUGAUCCAGCCAUGCCGCGUGUGUGAAGAAGGCCUUAGGGUUGUAAAGCACUUUCAUUGGGAGAAAGGCUGUUUGGUUAAUACCCAAGCAGAUUGAUGUUACCCAAAGAAGAAGGACCGGCUAACUCCGUGCCAGCAGCCGCGGUUAAAG